UGAAAUGUAGAAACUCGAAUCCACAAUCAAUUGAGUGUUCUAAAAUAAUAUAUGGUCUGAUGAUAAACAUACAUCUCUAGUACGUAUUCUUGAAUCAAUUGAAGUUGGUUUGAUUAUAAUUAGAAAAAUUAGAGAUUACACUACAGAUAUUAACAUUGACUCUUACCAGAAGAUCCCAUUUGAAUCCCCUAAUUAGAAAGAAGAAGAAACAAAGAAAAAGGUCUAAAUUCGAAUCAAAUGGGAAACUGCAUGGAUUCACAGUUCAAAUGAAACAAGAAACCAAAAUCCAUCAAAACGAAGACGCAAUUACAUAUCUGCGGCGUUGUGUUCAUCUGGAUUGAAUAGGCACAUUUGUCUCUCACUACCACCGUCACAUUACACGACUAGGGGUAGUGUCAAAGGAAGAAGAAGAGAGAAGAUGAGGUGGAUAACUAAUGGCUAAGUAAACCAGCAUUAGCAUCAGCACCACCGGGAUCCCCAUCAAUAUCAUCGGAGGCGGCGGAAGCGGUGGCAGAACGGCCGGAAGAACCGCCAAUAGCACCAUCACCACUCCGAUCAUGAACAUUCCCUAUGCUCCUUUAGUAUAAUUAUAUAAAUCUUCUGUUCUUUCUAUGUUCUUGCACAUAUAUGUGUGUGCAUAUAUAUAGUCGCAUAUAAGGUUUUUGAUAGAAGAAAAAAAAAGUCCGUAAAUUGUAUGUUUUGUUCGUUUUCCUUUUCUAUGUGUGUGAGAGAGAAAGACGUUAUAUCUUACAGGUGAAGCUCA
rnacentral:lncRNA from 1 species